CUUUUGAUUGGUACAAUCAAAUAUUAUUAUUAUUAUUAUUAUUACUUAAUAUUAUUGUUUUUUUUACCAGGCUUUUGGAAAUUCUCCCACAACCCCAUUUUCAUAUCAGGCGUGACCCCUAGUUUGGAAACCGCUGUGCUAGAGUGUUGUGGUGGAGGGCGUAAUCCCAUGACACUGAAUCAGAAGGUUGUGUGUUUGAUCCCAGUUGUGGACACUGGUUUUAUCCCAAACCUGAACCAUUUGGAAUGUGUGCCUAAAGUAAGGAUUAACCCAUUUUGAAUGUUAUAUUGUUUUUGUGCAUCUGAGUGAUGUUGUAUCGAUUCCCUGGGUCAUUUCAUGUUUUCAUGUGUAUCUGAGCUAUUGCCAUUCAAGCAGGCAGACAUUUGUCCGGUAUCACUUUAUCUGUGAUAAAGUCUCUCUCACUACACUGGAAGAUAAUAGGAAUACGACUUUUAGAAAACUAAAACCUUCUAUCUUACAUGUCAUAUUUCAAUAUUGGCCGAUGUCUUAAAGUGGGAGGUUUGUUUUCUCUCGACCGAGGCGUUGAUCAUAUUUUAGAAAUAUUCCUACCUGGAGAUAUGUUUCAUUUAACCGAGGGUCUAACACAUUUCUCCUGUCUGUCUGCCUCUUCAGUCCAGGGUGUAUUGCAUGGUGCCAUUGUGAAUGUCAGACUCCACUCUGUGAGGGACAUCGAUCUGAGAUUGUAGACUCCUAAAUUGAUAGUGCAGUUUGUUUAGACGAUUUUACAGCAAACUAGCAACUUCACAUGCUGAUAUUGAUUUUAGUAUUAUUGUGUGUAGCUACGUUUGCUAGCUAGCUACCUCAAUAGCAAACCAACCACCACUGUGGAAUUCGUAUCAAACACAUGGUUUCCAUUGACUCCAUUCAAGCCAUUAUUAUGACCCUUCAGCAGCCUCCACUGCUACCAACCUUAUUAUAACGACGCAAUAUAACAUCUGUUCACAAUAAAUAUUGUUCUCACUCAAUUAUAGGAAUGUUUUUGGAUGGAUUUCUCCUUUAAUGUUUUAAUUAUUCCAAACCAUAACCCUUACUUGAACCAUUCGAAAUGAGCGCCUAAACUUAACCCCUAACUUCCCCCUAACGAAUGUUGACGUUUGGAGAACGUGGAUGAACGUCUAAUUCUGUAUUGAGACAGAGAGCUGUUAGCUGGGGUGAUUCAAGCGAGUAACCAAUGGUUGGAUUCCAAACUGAAAUCCCACUUCCCUGGAUGGUAAUGAGGACGAAGAGGACAAUCCAUACACACACACACACACACACACACACACACACACACACACACACACACACACACACACACACACACACACACACACACACACACACACACACACACACACCACUGAAUUAGGCCAAUAAACAUAGCUGUAUUUACAUUUGUGAGUUUGUCCUGGGCUAAUGAGAUGGCAGCAGUGAAGGCGUGGGAUCAGAGGGGUUCUUGGGAACGCUCUCAUUGCCAUUCUGGUCAGCAAUCAAACUGUUUGUAGAGUCAGUGUUCCAUGAAAACAAAAUGCUCACACACACAUACACAAAUGGAAGGAUGUGUGGUCAUAAACACAGUUGGCUUAAGUGGAGCGUAUCGGUGUGUUUUUAAAGAGCAGCUGGUUCCAGCUGAGGAAGAUCCGGUGACAUUUAGCCACCGGCUGGGUUUAAAGGUUUACAGCUACACCCUUAACCACACACACACACACAGGUCUGAUUAGAGGCUGCAGACACACAGGUCUGAUUAUAGACCGCAGACACACAGGUCUGAUUAGAGACUGCAGACACACAGGUCUGAUUAUAGACCGCAGACACACAGGUCUGAUUAGAGACUGCAGACACACAGGUCUGAUUAGAGACUGCAGACACACAGGUCUGAUUAUAGACUGCAGACACACAGGUCUGAUUAUAGACCGCAGACACACAGGUCUGAUUAGAGACUGCAGACACACAGGUCUGAUUAGAGACUGCAGACACACAGGUCUGAUUAUAGACCGCAGACACACAGGUCUGAUUAGAGCCUGCAGACACACUGGUCUGAUUAGAGACUGCAGACACACAGGUCCUGUCCCAUCCACCAUCCACUUCCCUCAUGCCCUACCAUCCCCUGCCCAAUAAUUCAUUCAUUCAUAUUUUACAGCAUUUUGUUCUGUCCAGACAAGCCCCUAAAAGAAGAGAUGGGUCAUUCCACCAAUUCCGUGCCUUUCGAGUGUAAACACUUUUGAUUCCACCUAAUUUUAACAUUCUGUCAUGAAGAGCACAUGUUCACCUCAUAAAAAAACAUGUUUUUCCAUCUCAAGAGGUUAAAUAAAUAAAAUUACUCUAGUAAGUGCUUAUUAAGUACCAAAUAAUGUUGCCCGGGUUGACGAUUUAUUCUUAAAUCAGCCAUGAAUCCCCUUGUGACAGGGGGAAUGGACGUUUGUUGUGUGCAACAGGAAGGGGCAAUUGAAUGCAUGCUUCACAAUUGAUUGAUUUAUUGUUAAAACAUUUAGAGUCCGUCUAUCUACGCGUUAUACUCAACCUGCUCAGUUUUCCACCACAAAACACCAGAAAUGUAACUACUUUUACACUUAUGAUUUGGCUAUUGACUGUUUCUUUUGAAUUACAUAUGAAAAAGGAAUGCUUUCACCAUAUUAAAACCAGAGUUCAGUUCACAUAACAGGGUUCACCUUAAAAUAAGGGACAGACGUAAAUUAGUCACUAAUCACAUUAAAUAAAUAAUCAUCUUCAGAAAUGACUUUGUCAAAGCAACAACAUAAUGAGGGCUUUACAAUGAUGGUGAAACUUGGAGACAUUCUGGGAUUAAGUGGGUUAAAAUCUUCACAGGUGUGACACAGGGUUGACAGAGGGACAUGUCAAAAUGCUGAAUUUUGACACUUUAGCAAGAUAUAUUGAAUUAUCCAUGUGGUCUAUAUUAAAGGGCACUUCAUUUAAUAUAGCAGGUUUUUAUAUUUAUAUGCACAAUUUCUUCUUAAAAUAUCAAAGGGACGCAAAAGGCACUGUUUUUGUGGAAUGACCCAGAUAUCUACUUCAUUCUCUGAAGCAGGCCCAGUCAGUUACUAUACCCACGUGGUUAAAUCUCAUGUGAGACACAGAAGAGUUGAUACCUCCCCAGAGCCCAAACUAUCUGUCUGUAAUAUAGGCCACCCCUAUGGCCAAUUAUUUUCAUCCAACGGCUCAUUUCCAAUAUGGAGGUCUGAUAAGUGUGACAGAAGAUGGGAUGUGUGUGAAUGUAUGGGUUUGUGGAAAGAGAAAGGGAGAAAAAGAGAAUGAAAGAGAGAUGAGAGAAAAAUAAACAGCCUAUCAGUCUCCAUCACUGAUCCAGAUUAGAUAUACUACACUUAAUGGCUGCGUUUACACAGGCAGCCCAAUUCUGAUCUUUUUUUCACUUAUUGGUCUUUUGAACAAUUUUAUCAGCUCUGAAAAGAUCUGAUGUGAAAAGAUCUGAUGUGAUUGGUCAAAAGACCAAUUAGUGGAAAAAAAAUAAUUGGACUGCUUGUGUAAACGCAGCCUAUGAGACAUAUUAUCCCCUAUUUGUCUCUGUUUAGUUUGUGUGGGCAUGUGUGUGACGCCAUUUUGAUUUUCAUAAUCACCUCUUUCCCUCACAUCCUUCUCCUUCAAUUACUCUGUGAAUAGAUCAUACCCCCCACCGAUGACGUCCCUGUGAUACAAUGCCAUCGGACCAGUGUGCCAUGGGUGUGUGUGUGUGUGUGUGUGUGUGUGUGUGUGUGUGUGUGUGUGUGUGUGUGUGUGUGUGUGUGUGUGUGUGUGUGUGUGUGUGUGUGUGUGU
rnacentral:lncRNA from 1 species